rnacentral:rRNA from 1 species
AUUGAACGCUGGCGGUAUGCUUAACACAUGCAAGUCGAACGGUAACAGGCCUUCGGGCGCUGACGAGUGGCGGACGGGUGAGUAACGCGUAGGAAUCUGCCUCCUAGUGGGGGACAACGUGUGGAAACGCACGCUAAUACCGCAUACGCCCUACGGGGGAAAGCGGGGGAGCUUCGGGCCUCGCGCUAUGAGAUGAGCCUGCGUUAGAUUAGCUAGUUGGUAGGGUAAAGGCCUACCAAGGCGACGAUCUAUAGCUGGUCUGAGAGGACGAUCAGCCACACUGGGACUGAGACACGGCCCAGACUCCUACGGGAGGCAGCAGUGGGGAAUAUUGGACAAUGGGCGCAAGCCUGAUCCAGCAAUACCGCGUGUGUGAAGAAGGCCCUAGGGUUGUAAAGCACUUUCAAUAGGGAGGAAAACCUGUCGGUCAAUACCCGGCGGCUUGACAUUACCUAUACAAGAAGCACCGGCUAACUCCGUGCCAGCAGCCGCCGCAGUAAUAC